UGCACAAUGGGGGAAACCCUGAUGCAGCCAUGCCGCGUGUGUGAAGAAGGCCUUCGGGUUGUAAAGCACUUUCAGCGAGGAGGAAAGGUCAGUAGCUAAUAUCUGCUGGCUGUGACGUUACUCGCAGAUGAAGCACCGGCUAACUCCGUGCCAGCAGCCGCGGUAAUAAUCC
rnacentral:rRNA from 1 species